rnacentral:rRNA from 1 species
UACGUAGGGUGCAAGCGUUGUCCGGAAUUAUUGGGCGUAAAGAGCUCGUAGGCGGUUCGUCGCGUCGGCUGUGAAAACCCGAGGCUCAACCUCGGGCCUGCAGUCGAUACGGGCAGACUGGAGUACUGCAGGGGAGACUGGAAUUCCUGGUGUAGCGGUGGAAUGCGCAGAUAUCAGGAGGAACACCGGUGGCGAAGGCGGGUCUCUGGGCAGUAACUGACGCUGAGGAGCGAAAGCGUGGGGAGCGAACAGG